GAUGAACGCUGGCGGCGUGCCUAAUACAUGCAAGUCGAGCGAAUGGAUUAAGAGCUUGCUCUUAUGAAGUUAGCGGCGGACGGGUGAGUAACACGUGGGUAACCUGCCCAUAAGACUGGGAUAACUCCGGGAAACCGGGGCUAAUACCGGAUAACAUUUUGAACCGCAUGGUUCGAAAUUGAAAGGCGGCUUCGGCUGUCACUUAUGGAUGGACCCGCGUCGCAUUGGCUAGUUGGUGAGGUAACGGCUCACCAAGGCAACGAGGCGUAGCCGACCUGAGUGGGUGAUCGGCCACACUGGGACUGAGACACGGCCCAGACUCCUACGGGAGGCAGCAGUAGGGAAUCUUCCGCAAUGGACGAAAGUCUGACGGAGCAACGCCGCGUGAGUGAUGAAGGCUUUCGGGUCGUAAAACUCUGUUGUUAGGGAAGAACAAGUGCUAGUUGAAUAAGCUGACACCUUGACGGUACCUAACCAGAAAGCCACGGCUAACUACGUGCCAGCAGCCGCAGUAA
rnacentral:rRNA from 1 species